CACUAUUCUAAAAUAAACUUAAUUUUGUUAUUUUUGUACGGAUGGCUCAUUCCUUUUUAUUAUUAACGCUAUUGAAAGAAGCAAAUGAUUUUGAUAACUUAUUGAGCCGCAGGCAGAGAGAAAAGAUGAAACACACAAUUAAUUAUACGCGAAGAUGACUACGUUCGCCUCUUUCGUCUUACCAAACAAUUAGUAGAUGAUGUGGAAGAAAACCUAGAAUCAACUCUAAAAACCACCAAAACUUUAAACAGUAGAACUAAGAUUUUACCAGAAGUUCAACAUUAAUGCAAUGGUUGCAUUGGAUGUGUGGAUGGGACUUUUGUAGCAAUGAUAAGGCCAAAAGAAGAUGAAGAAAGAUACUAUUGCCGAAAGGGCUAUCAUGCUAGAAAUGUUCAAUUGAUAGUAGAUGCAGAUUUUAACAUUUUGCAUGUGGAUGCAUCAUAUGGAGGUUCUUUUCAUGACAGUUUUAUAUUUAACAACUGUGUUAUAAAAGAACAUUUAGAAGCAUUGAAUGAUUCUAAUGAAACUGUAUUUUUGCUUGGUGAUAGUGCUUAUUGUCAACGAGCAUAUAUGAUGGUUCCAGUGCCUAAUGUUGCAAAUGGAUCCCCUGAAGCAACAUACAAUAAAGUACAUGCUACUGCACGUAACUCUGUAGAAAGGCUAAUAGGUAUAUUAAUAGGUAUAUUAAAAGGACGAUUUCGCUGCCCGUUAGUUCAUCGAGUAUUACAUUACAGCCCUAAUACUGUUGGGAAAAUUACCAUAGCCUGUUGUGUACUACACAAUAUUUGUAAUCGUGCAGGGCUGAUAGCUCCUGAAUUAUCGACUGAAGAACUUACAGAGAUCAUGCUUCAGGGACAAUAUCAAUAUCAAAGAGAUGGUAAUAAUGAGGAGUUAGAGUUGGGUAGACUUGCAAGAGCUCGCUUAAUAAGAACAAUCUGGCACAACUCAAGACCAAUUUAAUAAAACAAUAACUUUGCUUAUAUAUUUUUUAUAUCAGUUUUUAUAUUUUUAU